rnacentral:rRNA from 1 species
AAAGUCUAAACGACUCUCGGCAACGGAUAUCUCGGCUCUCGCAUCGAUNNNNAACGCAGCGAAAUGCGAUACUUGGUGUGAAUUGCAGAAUCCCGUGAACCAUCGAGUCUUUGAACGCAAGUUGCGCCCGAAGCCUUGGCUGAGGGCACGUCUGCCUGGGU